GUCGGGAUAGCUUCAGUUGGUAGAGCAGAGGC
rnacentral:tRNA from 1 species